UACCCACUGUGGUGUUCGAGAGCGACAGCUUAAUUCUUGAACCACUUUAUGUUCGAUUAGGAAGCUAUUCCCGGUAAAGGUGUGCAGGCCCGCCGCGUAGCGGGAAGCCUGAUUUGCCGUAUCAGUUUCCACCCUGUUCCUUGGGUUCGAGAUCGGACGUCGUAACGGCACUGGCGGUGGGUGC
rnacentral:other from 1 species